rnacentral:rRNA from 1 species
AGCAGCCGCGGUAAUUCCAGCUCCAAUAGCGUAUAUUAAAGUUGUUGCAGUUAAAAAGCUCGUAGUUGAAUUUCGGGGUCAGUAGGUUGGUCAUGCCUCCGGUAUGUACUGGUCUCACUGAUUCCUCCUUCCUGAUGAGCCGUAAUGCCAUUAAUUUGGUGUUGCGGGGAAUCUGGACUGUUACUUUGAAAAAAUUAGAGUGUUUAAAGCAAGCUAACGCUUGAAUACAUUAGCGUGGAAUAAUGGAAUAGGACGUUCGAUCCUAUUUUGUUGGUUUCUAGGAUUGACGUAAUGAUUAAUAGGGAUAGUUGGGGGCAUUAGUAUUCAAUUGUCAGAGGUGAAAUUCUUGGAUUUAUUGAAGACUAACUACUGCGAAAGCAUUUGCCAAGGAUGUUUUCAUUAAUCAAGAACGAAAGUUAGGGGAUCGAAGACGAUCAGAUACCGUCGUAGUCUUAACCAUAAACUAUGCCGACUAGGGAUCGGAUGAUGUUAAUUUUUAAUGACUCAUUCGGCGCCUUAA